CACAUUUUCAUUAUAUUCUCAGUCCUCAAGGUAAUUCUUAGAGAAACACAAUUCUGUGGAAAGCAUUGCCAAUAUUGUCCAUUUCCUGCUGUAAAACUUUACUUGGGGAUUUCAGUAGCUGCCUGCUCCAUUCCACAGGGAGGUUUAGAAAGAUAUAUGUUGAUGAUCAGUUCAGUCCUUCUGACAGUCCUACAGCACAGCCCAAGUCCUAUUAAUAAACCCCAUCAUCUUCUUCCCUCUGGAGACUUCUCAGAUGAUUCUGUUCAGAUACUUUCAGAAGGUGCUGUCUAUAGAGCACUUUUUAAGGAGCUUUCAUUAAGAUGAAAAUAGAAACCGUGCUAAAAUAAAACUUAAUCCGAAGAAAAACUGCUUCAAGUACGAUCAGUUACUGCUCACAAAUGAGGAAAGCUUCGAGUGGUUCAUUAUCGCUAUUAUCACCUUGUACUUGUUAGAAAAUGUUGCCCUCAUGUUUCCAAUUAUAGGAGUUGACUUUUAUCCGCGCUACAUAUUUGAUGUGAAUUUAUUUUUGAAUGUGUUUUGCUGACUGAAGAAAAGUGCUGACCGUUUAACUCGAGUGCAAGCUGUUGUCUUGAAAAUAAGACUGUUUGUCAGUUGUUUCUUAAAGGGAAAAAGGGCCCAAAUACUUUGCAAUCACAAACUUUUAAAUCAAGAGUUGUCAAAGGAAACAAGCCUCUGAUGUUGUUUUUAGAAAAGGGAGUUUGAGUCUACAAAAAAAAAAAAAAAGUUUAUUUUUAGAUUAGUAAAUGUGAUUAGUUCACUAAUAAUGUUCUGGCAUGAUAGAUAAACAUAAUGUAAUAUUUUUAAUAAUUGGUCCUCUCGUGGGGAUAUCAGGCCAUUAUUAGACAUUGUGGGGACAUUUGGUCGCACUUCCCACAAUAUAGUAUGAACAAGAACACACACACACACACACACACACACAAACACAAAAACACACAGUAAAUACACAUUAACAACCAAAUUCUACACAGCAUUACCGUAAAUACUCAAUCUUGAAAGUCACUGGUCACUGAAAAUAUGGAACUUUUUUAAGUGUCUCAUCAGAUUUAUGAUAUUCAUGACAUUGUUUUGUGUGUUUUGUUCUGCUUCAAUGUAGUUGUUUCAUGUGUGAUUUGGCUCCCCCUAUUUGCAAUUGCUCUGACAGGAAGUAAUUUGAUUUAGACCCAGUGAAAAGGAAGUGAAUUCAAUGUACAUCUUUAUGGGCUCAUUCUGAUCUGCUGCUGGUUUUAUCUUACCUGUAUUCUGUGAAGCCGAGUUCCAAGACUCUCCAAAUGUACUCAAUCAGGGACCAGAUUCUGCUGAACGACUCCUGCAGGAGGUGUCAAAGUGUGUGAAGUAGAGGAAUUAAGUCAGAAAUGAGUGCAGGCAAACUUUCAGACGCUUAGAGGCUUAAUCCUUCAAAAGGUGUCGCAAAGAGGUGAUGGGACUUCCAUCUCACUUUGUCUGCUGUGUCUUCAUGGUCUGGACUCGGCCUCCUACACAUCUGAACUCGGCCUGUGUGAUUUAGUUUGCCCUCCUCUUCACAUCUCACAAUGGUGAUCCAUCAGUGUUGUUGUGUUUCAACGAACGGAUACAGAGGUCCCGAGCGGCAUACUGUGAAUAAUUUGCAGAAGCCCAUUCACCACAAAAGUUCCCUUUCUAUGGAGCAACCGACUGUUUUCAGAUGACUCCUAUUCUCUGUUUCCAAACAGAGUAUAUUAAGAUAUUAAGUAUACAGUUGCAUUAAAAUGCAAUAAAAACCUUUCUGACUUUGACAACCCAAAUGUGUCCAGAAGACCUUUAAUGCAACACUUUUUGUUUCAAUUUUGAACAGUAUCCCUUGUAAAAAGAAGUGUGGUUAAUUGUACUGAAUGUGUACUUAAGGAGAGCACACUUUUCUUAACAUGCACUAAUAAAAUAA